AGCGAACGCUGGCGGCAGGCCUAAUACAUGCAAGUCGAGCGCCCCUUCGGGGGAGCGGCGGACGGGUGAGUAACGCGUGGGAAUGUGCCCUUUGGUACGGAACAGCUGAGGGAAACUUCAGCUAAUACCGUAUGUGCCCUUCGGGGGAAAGAUUUAUUGCCAUUGGAGCAGCCCGCGUUGGAUUAGGUAGUUGGUGGGGUAAAGGCCCACCAAGCCGACGAUCCAUAGCUGGUCUAAGAGGAUGAUCAGCCACACUGGGACUGAGACACGGCCCAGACUCCUACGGGAGGCAGCGGUAGGGAAUCUUGCGCAAUGGGCGAAAGCCUGACGCAGCCCAUGCCGCGUGAAUGAUGAAGGUCUUA
rnacentral:rRNA from 1 species